GGGCAAUAGAAUGCAAGUCGAACGGACUUAACUCAUUCUUUUAGAUUGAGAGCGGUUAGUGGCGGACUGGUGAGUCACUCGUAAGCAACCUGCCUAUCAGAGGGGAAUAACAGUGAGAAAUCAUUGCUAAUACCGCAUAUGCUCACAGUAUCACAUGAUACAGUGAGGAAAGGAGUAAUCCGCUGAUAGAUGGGCUUGCGUCUGAUUAGUUAGUUGGUGGGGUAACGGCCUACCAAGACUACGAUCAGUAGCCGGACUGAGAGGUUGAACGGCCACAUUGGGACUGAGAUACGGCCCAGACUCCUACGGGAGGCAGCAGUCGGGAAUAUUGCGCAAUGGAGGAAACUCUGACGCAGUGACGCCGCGUAUAGGAAGAAGGUUUUCGGAUUGUAAACUAUUGUCAUUAGGGAAGAUAAAAGACUGUACCUAAGGAGGAAGCCCCGGCUAACUAUGUGCCAGCAGCCGCGGUAAUACAUAGGGGGCAAGCGUUAUCCGGGAUUAUUGGGUGUAAAGGGUGCGUAGACGGAAGAACAAGUUGGUUGUGAAAUCCCUCGGCUCAACUGAGGAACUGCAACCAAAACUAUUCUCCUUGAGUGUCGGAGAGGAAAGUGGAAUUCCUAGUGUAGCGGUGAAAUGUGUAGAUAUUAGGAGGAACACCAGUGGCGAAGGCGACUUUCUGGACGAUAACUGACGUUGAGGCACGAAAGUGUGGGGAGCAAACAGGAUUAGAUACCCUGGUAGUCCACACUG
rnacentral:rRNA from 1 species